UCUUUAACCUGACCCCCAUUAGUACUAUCCUGACUAGCUCACUGUAAACUGAAAAAAAUUAUCAAACUGUCAACCAAAAGUAAACACAUCACCUGUAGGUACAGUAGAGUAAAGCUAAGUUUCCUUUUGUUUGGGUAUUUUUUUUUUCUUCUUCAGUUGUCUCUGCCAUCUUUGACCUGACCAUUAGUGCUGUCCUGACUAGCUCACUUAUGAGCAGAAAAAAAUUAUCAAACCGUCAACCAGAAGUAAACACAUCACUUUGGACCACUCAAAGACACAGUCUACCUGCUGUUUAACCCAGUCUUUGGUCAGAGGUGAAGAAGAGAUGACAUCCUCCACACCAUCCCCCUGCUGCUCUCAACAACCAUCAUCGCUGUGCUGGACAGAUUGCAGCACCCACCAGGACCCUUCUCUCAUGGACUACACAAACAUGUGUUUUACCUGCUCAUGCUCCAGAUGUCCUGAAGCAGCUCUCAAGGACCACCAGACACCAGGCUGAAGCAGAACUGAUGCUGUAGUACCUGUCACUCACUGGGCUCGUUCCUGCUGAACCUCCAAGAGAUAAACCCCUCUUCAAGAACGUCUGAGGUAAUGUCUUAGUGAACUUGUGUUCAUUUAUUUUUUCUUAGUUAUCUUAGCUGCUGUAUUAAUGCUUGUGAUGCUAUUGUACAGCUCUGCUGAUAUCAUCGUCUUUAACAGCAGUGUUUUCUCCCAGGUCUUCUUCAAGCCAGUUAAGAGAGGAAGAACAGCUUAGACACUCAGGCAGCUGAACGCACCAAAGGUGGACAUCAUGCAGCCACCCUGAGCCUUGAGCCUCUCUGUGUGAGGAAGCUUUGCUGCUGCAGACCUGGUGAAGUUGCUCUGGACAGAAAUAUUUUUGCUCUGCUGCAGUGCUGAAG